rnacentral:rRNA from 1 species
AGUUGGAGAGAAGUAUGCGGAAUGCGCGGUGUAGCGGUGAAAUGCAUAGAUAUCGCGCAGAACUCCGAUUGCGAAGGCAGCAUGCCGGCUCCACACUGACGCUGAGGCACGAAAGCGUGGGUAUCGAACAGGAUUAGAUACCCUGGUAGUCCACGCAGUAAACGAUGAAUGCUGGCUGUCCGGGGGGGACUGACCCCUGGGUGGCGAAGCGAAAGCGAUAAGCAUUCCACCUGGGGAGUACGCCGGCAACGGUGAAACUCAAAGGAAUUGACGGGGGCCCGCACAAGCGGAGGAACAUGUGGUUUAAUUCGAUGAUACGCGAGGAACCUUACCCGGGCUCAAACGGGGAGUGACUCAGGCAGAGACGCCUGUUUCCCACGGGACACUCCCCGAGGUGCUGCAUGGUUGUCGUCAGCUCGUGCCGCGAGGUGUCGGCUUAAGUGCCAUAACGAGCGCAACCCCCGCGUGCAGUUGCUAACAGUCAACGCUGAGGACUCUGCACGGACUGCCGGCGCAAGCCGCGAGGAAGGCGGGGAUGACGUCAAAUCAGCACGGCCCUUACGUCCGGGGCGACACACGUGUUACAAUGGGUGGUACAGCGGGAAGCCAGGCGGCGACGCCGAGCGGAACCCGAAAUCCACUCUCAGUUCGGAUCGGAGUCUGCAACCCGACUCCGUGAAGCUGGAUUCGCUAGUAAUCGCGCAUCAGCCAUGGCGCGGUGAAUACGUUCCCGGGCCUUGUACACACCGCCCGUCAAGCCAUGGGAGCCGAGGGCGCUUAAAGUGCGUCGCCGCGAGGCGCGCCCUAGAG